rnacentral:tRNA from 1 species
AUAGUUAAUUAAAUUUUAAAUUUAAUACAUUAAAAAUAUGAUAAAUUAAUUAAU